rnacentral:rRNA from 1 species
UUAUAAAAAAAAGGUUGUAUCAUAUAAUUAUAUUGAGUGUGAUCAUGGCUCGGGAUUAACGCUAAUUAGACGCCUAACACAUGCGAGUUUUAUGUAAGUUAAACUUAAUUUAGUUUAAAUAUAUAGCGUCAAGGUGAGUACAAUACAAUAAUAUGCCUUUAAGUAAAUUUAAAUAAUAUAUAGUUUUUAAAUAACAAAAAAAUGCUAAA